rnacentral:misc_RNA from 1 species
ACCAAAUCCACAACGUAGUCGUCCUAAUGUCAUGUAUGCAAACCUGUGGCACGGCAGCUCACAACUCAUACCAAAUCCACAACGUAGUCGUCCUAAUGUCAUGUAUGCAAACCUGUGGCACGGCAGCUCACAACUCAUACGGAGAAGCACGACCGUCUUGUUGAGUCUCCAAGAAGUUCCGUGGCAGAUUGAACAAUGGGCCACUGCUCAUUUCCUUGGGUACCGGCUUCGGCGCCUUCUUUCUUUUCCUCGCAGGUGGUGACGACUCAACAAGCAGCAUAUCAUGCCGAGUCGCGGGUUCCGCCCAAGACAAUGGAUUCACAUCAACAGGUUCAGGAGGAGUUCCCGAACCAGCACCCGCAUUUCCAUUCAUCACACGUGGAGGACGCUUUCUUAAAUAAUUCUCUUGCAAAGGCCUUGGGGUUUGGAAAGAAAACUGAGAUAAAGUUACCCCUUGUCUAAUGUACUCUGGAUUUUCA